rnacentral:rRNA from 1 species
CCCUUAGAUGUUCGGGGCCGCACGCGCGCUACACUGAAGGACUCAGCGUGUCUCUCCCCCUAUCCCGAAAGGGAUGGGCAACCCGUUGAACCUCCUUCGUGCUAGGGAUUGGGUUUUGCAAUUAUCCCCCAUGAACGAGGAAUUCCCAGUAAGCGCGAGUCAUCAGCUCGCGUUGAUUACGUCCCUGCCCUUUGUACACACCGCCCGUCGCUACUACCGAUUGGAUGGUUUAGUGAGACCCUCGGAUCGGUCCCGACUCGGGGUGGGCUUCUGCCCCGGUCGUGGUUUCGCCGAGAAGACGGUCAAACUUGACUAUCUAGAGGAAGUAAAAGUCGUAACA